UAUUCCCUAAUAAACCAGGUGAAUAUGAUUUAGAUUUUUUAAAUUUUUUUUCUUUACAGUAUGAAAAUCUUCAAGAGGAAGCAGAUAAGCAGAAAUAUCACCUGCAAAUCCCUGACAUGCUGAGAGAAACUCUUGGGACUGUUCCUUGGUGCCAUAUAAGACUAGGUUUAAAAGCAAAAUAAAACCCAGGAAUAUUUGGAAGGAAAACAAAGGUGAACCUGCAAGAAGUUGGAAGAAAGAAUGUCAAGAGGACAGUGAUAACCACAGAACUGAGCACUCACCAGCAUUUGGCAGAGUUGCUCUCUCUGUAAAGAAAUAAAGCCGUUGCCACACAGCCUCAGUGACAGCACCAAAGGGAAAAAAGGCACAUGUCUAAGGAACUGCAUUAGUUUGUUGUAGAAAUUGCUCGAAAUAGUCACAUCCAUUGUCUGGAAUACUGUCUAGAAGCUUUGACACUCCAGGGACUUCACAAGUGAGUGUGGUAUCUGAAGUCAGAGUGAAAGAUUUAGAGAGAAAAUGCAG
rnacentral:lncRNA from 1 species